ACCAGCAUCCCUCUUAAAUUUCCUUCUACAGAAGCGUCCAGCUCUGAACUCUGGAGAUGUGUGUCCCCAGGUCUGUUCAAUUGCCUUGUUUAGGCUGAGAUCACAGCCCUCUCCAGCAUCACCUUCGCAGUGAAAAAGACACAAACCCGACGGCUCAACGCUUGCAAGGCAGAGCAAUGCUGCAGCCUCGUGUGCCCUUCGACUCACUCACUUUCCCUCGGCCAGGCCUCAAGCAGAGCAGUGAUUGAAGAGAGGUGGAGCCCCGUGACUGACUCCCCUGAGAACAUAACUCUGGUUUCUCUGACACCCCGAACAAGAGCGAGAUGUCAGGAUUCUUCCUUUGGGCUGCUGCGUGAUCUUUACAUCUCCAGAGAGGAAUGGACUGGUGACAGUGAUGCUACUUCACCUCUUCUGAACGCAGGAGCUCAGUUCCGUGUUUGGCAGCUCUAGGAUGAACCAGUGGAGUUUCCUUGACCUCAAUGGGGAUCAAUUCCGUUUGGAGCUUGUAGCAACUGAUGUCCAAGGGAGCCCAAGUCCCACCCAUCACAUGGCAACAGGAAGCAAAUGGGCUGUUUGCAAGUGCCGUCCCUGCCUCACCCCUGGCUGAAUGGUUGCCUCUGACACACAGCACCCCAACUGCUCCCAGGGCAGAUGAAUGAAACUUUGUCAGAGAGCACUGAAUGAAGAAGAAAGAGCUCAUUUCCCUCCCCAGAUUCCUCCUGAAUUCACGGGAGCUGAACAAAUAGUAUCAGAAAGUGUAUCAGAUUCUUCCAGCAAAGAGACUGUACAAUCACAGGCAGCUGCACUGAGGAAAAUAUAGAUGCGAUAGUAAACACAGACUUGGAGGAGCAUCUCAUGUCUCCUUCAGGUCAAGCAGUGGUCUUGAAAGAUUACCCAGCACAUAGAGAAUUCAGAAGGAGCAAGGUGAGCAAAUCUACCAGUGGAAUGCCUGCUCCUAUGGAGGCACACCAGUCAGGAAACAUGUCUAGCAUAUUACUUACAGAUGAAGGCUGGUGUGCACAAGACAGCCAGGUAGAUGGAAGGGACUUGACUUCUGCUCAUUUGGACAGACCCUAGUCCAUGUGCCACAAGAUCCUUGGCUUCAGCAAUGAGAAGGAGGUUGAUGUCCCCAUGCUGCUCACCCGCGAGGAACAUUCAGCUCCACAGAGGACCAGUAUUGGACUCCAGCUCUGCUAUAUUUCUAUCUCUACCAGCUAUGGAGGGAGACUUGAACUUGCUGGAUACUGAGUAGCCUACUCAAAACAUGCCAAGGCUGAUCUUGCUAAUGCCCAAUUGCAGCCCCACCUCUCUUCUGCUGGUCGCUGGCCCCAUCUCUGCAGCCUGUGUACUUGCCUGGGCUGCCAUGCUCUCAUUAUACCUUUGUACAGCGUCAGUCCUUUCCACUCUCAUUUCAGCUGCCUCGUCAAGGUGCUCCAAUAAUUCAAGUGAUAAAUAAUAACAAUAAUAAUGCAGAAGUCGUUUGAAUUGA